AUUGAACGCUGGCGGCAGGCCUAACACAUGCAAGUCGAACGGUAACAGGAAGCAGCUUGCUGCUUUGCUGACGAGUGGCGGACGGGUGAGUAAUGUCUGGGAAACUGCCCGAUGGAGGGGGAUAACUACUGGAAACGGUAGCUAAUACCGCAUAACGUCGCAAGACCAAAGAGGGGGACCUUAGGGCCUCUUGCCAUCGGAUGUGCCCAGAUGGGAUUAGCUAGUAGGUGGGGUAACGGCUCACCUAGGCGACGAUCCCUAGCUGGUCUGAGAGGAUGACCAGCCACACUGGAACUGAGACACGGUCCAGACUCCUACGGGAGGCAGCAGUGGGGAAUAUUGCACAAUGGGCGCAAGCCUGAUGCAGCCAUGCCGCGUGUAUGAAGAAGGCCUUCGGGUUGUAAAGUACUUUCAACGGGGAGGAAGGGAGUAAAGUUAAUACCUUUGCUCAUUGACGUUACCCGCAGAAGAAGCACCGGCUAACUCCGUG
rnacentral:rRNA from 1 species